CGUUGGAGGAACUUCAUCCAAAUAGCCUCCUCGACAUCUAAAGUAAAAGCCAUUUCGGCAAAAGCAUGGGUUACGGUAUUAGCCUCGUGAUACGCAUGCAAUGGGGAAAAGGAUACGAACUAUUGGGAGAGAUCUACAAUCUGUAAAAGACGAGUCCCAUAAUAUGUAGACGGGAACUGUUGCUUGCUAAGAUGAUGAAGGAGGGCUAAAGAAUUUGUUUCAAAAAUAAUCUUAGUGAAACUCCCCUCCGAAGCUCUAGAGAUGCCAAACACAACAGUUUCAACUUCAGCAUCAUUAACUAGAAUAUUUGAUCGAAACCUAUAACAUUUGGACAUAAAGAUAGCACCAGUAGCAUCGCGCAGCACCAUUCCGAAGCCACAGGAGCCGCUACUCUGCAUUGCUGCAUCUGUAUUUAGUUUUACCAUAUCAGCUAAAAGGGGCACCCAUUUUGCACUUGCUCUAAAAGAUAAGGAUAAUUUGGGACAAUAAUUAGCUAGCUUGAACUCAUUUAGCAAAGAAGAUGUGACAUUUAACACUUGCGAAGGUGUCUGCUACCAUAGAGUAGAUCUGCAAUUGCGUGAAUACCACAAUGCCCACACUAGCAUAAAGACAAUCUCCAUUUGAUCUUGCCAUAAAACUGCAACCAACUGUAAAAUCCAAUCUGCCAUAGAGAGAUUAGUGACAAGAACUGGGAGACAAAUAGGACUAUUACCCCAAACCUCCUUAGAAAAAAGCAAUAUCUCAUGACAUGGAUCAUUAUUUCAAUGCCAGCAUUAUAGUAUGAGCAAACAUUAUCAACCAAUAUACCUUGCCGACACUGGGCAGAGGAAACAGGGACCUGAUCAGUACAAGCCUUGAACAUUAAAUGAUUUACUUUGGGUGGAAUCUCCUGGUGCCAUAUCAUCUUCCAAAUGGGACUAUCAUAUCCAUAUGUCGAUGAAGAAGCACUAGAAGAAUUCAAACACUACAAGCAUAAUGAUGCGCACAUUUAACUGAAUAGGCACCAGUACGAGGUUAGUGCCACACUAAUACAUUACCUCUCUUCGCCGAUACAAGGGAAUGGCUCAGAUUUGGUGCACUUCAAGUGGCAUAAAUAAUUGAUUAAG
rnacentral:misc_RNA from 1 species